UCCAGACUCCUACGGGAGGCAGCAGUGGGGAAUCUUCCGCAAUGGGCGAAAGCCUGACGGAGCAACGCCGCGUGAUCGAAUGAAGGCCUUCGGGUUGUAAAGAUCUGUUGACAGGGACGAAUAAGCAAUGCGAAUAGUUUUGUGUAUGACGGUACCUGUUUAGAAAGCUCCGGCUAACUACGUGCCAGCAGCCGCGGUAAUACGUAGGGAGCAAGCGUUGUCCGGAAUUACUGGGCGUAAAGGGCGCGUAGGUGGGCGCUUAAGUCAGGUGUGAAAACUCCGGGCUCAACCUGGAGACUGCACUUGAAACUGGGUGUCUUGAGGGCAGGAGAGGAAAGUGGAAUUCCUAGUGUAGCGGUGAAAUGCGUAGAUGUCGCGCAGAACUCCGAUUGCGAAGGCAGCGUACCGGCGCCGGACUGACGCUGAGGCACGAAAGCGUGGGUAUCGAACAGGAUUAGAUACCCCCGUAC
rnacentral:rRNA from 1 species